CGAACCGGGGACCUCUAGUGUGUGAGACUAGCGUGAUAACCGACUACACCACCCAGACAAUUUGUUCUAUUUUACAAAAUCAUUCAAUUUAAACAUUCAAUUCAAAACCACCACAUUUACCCUGCUUUCUCCGUCGUAGCUAUCGACGGCAAGCCAAAAACCUUCAACCGAGUUUCUCUCUGCAAUGGCGUCGCAUCACGCAUCUCUAGGUCGACGCACGUUGGAAGAAAUUCGUCAGAAGAGAGCGGCUCAAAAGUUAAGCAAAACCUCAUCUGGACCUGAUCUAACCUUGCCUCCAAACCCUAGCGAGGUGUUCGGGAUCAAGAAAUCAUCUAGCGGAAGCGGAAUUUCUGAGAGUGAUAUUAGUGGAUUGGUAUCACAGAUACAGGAGUUGCAGAAAAGGAAUGCGGAACUGGAUGAAGAGAAUAAAAGGCUGAGCUUAGAGCUUCAUUCUAACAAAGCGGAGAAUGACAUGCUUCAUAAACGGGUGAAUGACCUGGAACAAAACACUGUACCCUCAUUGAGAAGAGCUCUUAAGGAUGUGGCUAUGGAAAAGGAUGCAGCAGUUGUUGCAAGGGAGGAUUUCUCAGCACAGGUUCGAGCACUUAAAAAGCGUCUAAAGGAAGCAGAAGAAGAGCAAUAUCGAGCUGAAGAAGACGCAGCUGCACUAAGAGCAGAGUUAAACUCACUACAACAACAAGCAAUUAGUGGUGAUCUUGGUGCCUUUGCCUCAAGGGGAGGCCCGCCAGAUCACAUGCAAGCUAUUGAGAAGGAGCUUGCCGAUUUGAAGUCCCAACUGGAGCAAGAGUCAAUGCUGAGGCGGCAAGAGGGAAUGUUAAGGCGGCAAGAGCAACAACAGUUAGCUGAGGAGCAAUUAAAGAUAUCUGUCAUCCUUUCUGAGAAAAAAGAAUUGGAAGAAAAGCUAGCGGUCAUGUCCAGAGAGGCCUCAGGAAAUAGUGAAAGAGUUGCCCAGUUCACAAUGGAAGAUAAAGAGAGACUUGAGAAGCAGUUGCAUGAUAUGGCAGUAGCUGUCGAGAGAUUGGAGAGCAGCAGACAAAAGCUACUGUCAGAGAUUGAUUCCCAAUCUUCUGAAAUAGAAAGGCUCUUUGAGGAGAAUUCUAACUUAUCAUCAGCUUAUCAAGAGGCAACUGGCAUGGUCACACAGUGGGAAAAUAAGGUAAAAGAUUGCCUGAAACAAAAUGAGGAGCUCCGUACUAUGUUGGAUAAAUUAAGAACAGAACAAGCUAGCAUGUCUAUCAUCAAUGAUCGUGAGGGUCACAAACGUAGUUUGGAGUCAAAUAACGGAGUGAGUGAGAUAUCUCAGGCUUAUACUGCUGAAGUUGUAUCCCUAAAGGGUCAACUAGCUAAAGAACAAAGCAAGGCUGAGACACUAUCUGCAGAGGUUUUGCAGCUCUCAGCUCAGCUCCAACAAGCGGUUCAUGCCUACAACGGCCUUGCUCGCCUGUACGGUUCUCUCUUCAUACUUGUUAUUCACCAGAGGUGGCAAUUUAGACACGUUUAUGGAUAAACAUGUCAGUCUGAGUUAUACUUUGCCUCUAACGGGUCAACCGGGUUAAUUAAAAGGUGUAGCUAAAAUGAAAACACGUCAAAAGUCACUACAAACCCGUGUUACGGAACAUAGAGAGCAAUUUACUCAAAAUGAAGCAAGACAGCUCUCUGAUCGUGCAGUAAACAAGAAAAGCAUUUGCUUGAACACAUCCUGGUAUACUAUACUAAAAAGAUAAUGUGAUCUGUAUUCUUUUAUUCAUACUGGUUAACCAAAUUUACAAUAUUUACUGAUCUGUCAUCUUUACUUACUAAUCAUAACUGAAAACAUUUGGAAGAGACAUUCA